AAAACAUCUUUCGUGACGCUCUGAAAGAUUUCAGAGGAUGGCUUGAUUUCAGGCUAUUGUAAUUCGUUGGAGGAGGUAAAACAAAGCAUUUCUUCAAGCAAAUGCAGGAACAUGUCCCUAUCCCCUUUUUUGGUUGUGCAUUUGCAGUGGAGAGUGUGUGGUCAAGGCACUGUGUUUUGGGGCCGAAAUACUAUAAAAGUAAAGAGUCUAGUGUACCUGAGCACUUGGAAGACCAUGUGACUCCUCGUAAGAGAUUGAGGAUCAUGGAUACUGGAAAAUCCAACUGCCCAACAACUUUAAAUAUGAAGUGUAUAAGGGUGUAUCCUGAUUACAGUAUGCACUCAGCAACUGAACACAGGGAUACCAAGGCAAAAGUUCUUGCAAGUCUACAGAAAGAUUUGGCAUUGCCAUGCCCGCCGAAGGGCUACCUACGUUAUUAUUUGACUGCUUCUCCAGCAAGUGCGCACACACACAUGCUACUGAAAGUGUUGAAGCAAGUGGGUACAUACAUCCUUCACUUGUAAAGGAAAUCAAAAACUUAGUAACUCAGUGGAAUGACAUCUCUCAAAGUCAUUAAGUUGGCUCUAGAUAGAUUUGUUGAAAUCAAUUUCAUUGGGACACACAUACCAGGUCAAAUGAAUACUACCUUUUACCCCACAGAGAAAACUAUUUACAGUCACAUUUAUCGGACCCUUUAUAGUACGAAUAAAGUAUUGUUUGACGAGACUAGACUGCAGAAUCAGGUUGAUGAGUGGCACAAAGACUCGAGCAAUCACAUGAUUUAUUAUAGGCAUUGUAUGGAAGCCAAUGGAGAAGUGAAACCAUUACUUUUUUGCUAUCAGAGCAGUUGGCAGAGAGAUCUUUUGAAGAAGUAUGGGGGUAGUUGUUUGUUAGAUGCAACAUACAAAACAUCAUAUGAUAUUCCUUUAUUUUUUAUAGCUGUGAAGAGUAAUGUGGGCUAUUUGGUUGUCGGUUUUUUUCAUUCAGAUUGAAAAUGCAAGAUCCAUUCAUGAAGCACUAGACAUUUUCAAGGACUGGAACAAGGAUUGGAAUCCCCUCUAUUGGGUUACCGAUUUCUCGGAGUCGGAGAUAAAUGCAAUUGAGCAAGCAUUCCCUCAGACAAAAGUUUACUUGUGCCUUUUCCAUCCAAAACAGGCAUGGGGAAGAUGGUUGAAAAAAAGGAUAAUCUACGUGUACCAAAUGACAUGAAGAGAUUUCUGGACAUGUGGCAAGAAAUUUCAGAAUCAUCAACAGAGAGAGAAUUUAGAGAUCACGUAGAAGAGUUGCGAACGCACGAGGUUUCUCGGAGAAACGAGCGUGCGUGGCCAUACUUUCAACAGCAGUGGCUAACGGUAUGUGAAAGAUGGGUGAAAGCGUAUGAGGACAAGGGCAGAUUUGCAACCAUUGACACUACAAAUGGAGUUGAAGCCAUGAACAAGGUUGUAAAACAUUUUUUCCUUAAACACAAUUCAGACAGGACUUUAACUGGGGUUACUAAGGUUAUAAUAAACCAGUUUCUUCCAAGCCUAAUUAGAAAGUACUGUCUGCAGAAUUCUGCCAUCAAAGCUUAUAACAAAGAUGUUCCACUGUUUUUGCAUAAAAAACAAACAAGUUUGUGAAACAUGUCAUGCAGCGAUAUGAAUCAGCGAAAGUUGAGUUAACUGCAAAAUCAGUGAGUGGGAGAUUGGAUGGUUCAUUUUGUGUGGAGAGUGCAAAGUCCAAAAAGUGUAGUUAUGUUGUAAACUUUGAUAUACCAGAUUGCACAUGUGUAGAUUUUCGGAGAUAUAAAUACCCAUGCAAGCACUUCUGUGCAAUCUUUAUUUUUUACCCAGAGUGGGGUUUUGAUAAAAUGCCAGAAAGUUAUGAGACUAGUCCAUUAAUCUGUCUUGAUGAAAUGUAUGGUGUGGGCUUUAGAAGUGGCUCUUUAGUAAUUUCAUGCGAAGGUAGUAGUACUGAUGAAGCAGCUGAGGAGGCUGUCAAGGCAGCAAAUACAGAUGGUCUUGUUCAAACCCAGAAUAUUUCUUCGCAGCAGUUUGAAGCGAGGGAGCUGUGUAAACAGAUUUAUAAUCUCACAUACAACUGCAGCAACAGCGAAACAUUACAAAAAGUACUUGAAUCACUGAGCAACU